rnacentral:rRNA from 1 species
UACAGAGGUCCCAAGCGUUGUUCGGAAUCACUGGGCGUAAAGGGUGCGUAGGCGGGUCUUUAAGUCAGGGGUGAAAUCCUGGAGCUCAACUCCAGAACUGCCUUUGAUACUGAAGAUCUUGAGUUCGGGAGAGGUGAGUGGAACUGCGAGUGUAGAGGUGAAAUUCGUAGAUAUUCGCAAGAACACCAGUGGCGAAGGCGGCUCACUGGCCCGAUACUGACGCUGAGGAGCGAAAAGUAUGGGGAGCGAACGAGG